CAUUACCGAGAUUAGGGUCCUUCGGGGCCCGAUCCUCCCACCCUUUGCGUAUGUACCUCUGUUGCUUCGGCGGCCCCCGGGGUUACGGUGCCGGCGUCGCCACGCAUCAUCCCCCGACCGCCAGAGGCCCCAUCCACUCCGAAUUUUCCAUUGCCGUCUGAACCAAACAAGCAAAUAUUUUUAAAACUUUCAACAACGGAUCUCUUGGUUCUGGCAUCGAUGAAGAACGCAGCGAAAUGCGAUAAGUAAUGUGAAUUGCAGAAUUCAGUGAAUCAUCGAAUCUUUGAACGCACAUUGCGCCCUCUGGUAUUCCGGGGGGCAUGCCUGUCCGAGCGUCAUUACACCUCUCAAGCUCAGCUUGGUAUUGGGCUCUCGUCCCCCGCGGACGGGCCUGAAAAUCAGUGGCAGUGCAGCCGGUGCUCAAGCGUAGUAAUCUCUAUCCCGCUUUGGAGUCGCCGGCUGGACCCGCCAGACAA
rnacentral:rRNA from 1 species